rnacentral:rRNA from 1 species
GGGAACAUACCCUUUUCUACGGAAUAGCUCUGGGAAACUGGAAUUAAUACCGUAUACGCCCUACGGGGGAAAGAUUUAUCGGGGAAGGAUUGGCCCGCGUUGGAUUAGCUAGUUGGUGGGGUAAAGGCCUACCAAGGCGACGAUCCAUAGCUGGUCUGAGAGGAUGAUCAGCCACAUUGGGACUGAGACACGGCCCAAACUCCUACGGGAGGCAGCAGUGGGGAAUAUUGGACAAUGGGCGCAAGCCUGAUCCAGCCAUGCCGCGUGAGUGAUGAAGGCCUUAGGGUUGUAAAGCUCUUUCACCGAUGAAGAUAAUGACGGUAGUCGGAGAAGAAGCCCCGGCUAACUUCGUGCCAGCAGCCGCGGUAAUACGAAGGGGGCUAGCGUUGUUCGGAAUUACUGGGCGUAAAGCGCACGUAGGCGGAUAUUUAAGUCAGGGGUGAAAUCCCAGAGCUCAACUCUGGAACUGCCUUUGAUACUGGGUAUCUUGAGUAUGGAAGAGGUGAGUGGAAUUGCGAGU